AGGGGUGUACGUUGGCAGAAUGGGCAAUGCACAUCAGAAAUUAUAUUUCUAGUAGGAUCAUCCAGGACAAGAACGCUGUUCCAUUAUGCUCAACUAAAUGCUAGCAGGUAUCUCUACUUGGGUGGUGUUUUAUUAUUAUACAAUGAAACAAAACAGAAAACAAAAGCAUACCGGCUCGGACAUUGCCUGGGUUAACAAGGUCCGCGUUUGUGAGUUAUGCAGAGGCUUGCAUUCGGAAAGUUCACUACAAUCUCUCUUGGCCACUGGUGGCGAAAGCAGCACCAACCCAAGUCUGGCUGCUACAAUAUACAUACCCACAGUAGGCGACGAGUCACCACAUCAGAGUCCAACCAGCCAAAAUGUUUCCCGGGCAACUCAGCCA
rnacentral:lncRNA from 1 species